rnacentral:rRNA from 1 species
CUCUUCGAUGUUCUGGGCUGCACGCGCGCUACAGUGGCAAAGACAGAGAGCAUGAAUUAAUUAUAGAGUCGCAUCGAGGGAUGUGACGAAUCAGCAAUCGUUGUCGUGAUUGGGAUUGAGCGUUGUAAUAUUUGCUCAUGAAAGAGGAAUUCCUCGUAAGCGCGAGUCACUAACUCGUGUUAAUUACGUCUCUGCCCUUUGUACACACCGCCCGUCGCUACUACCGAUUGAACUGGUUUUUGAAGUGUAGAGAUUGGCAGGCAUGGUUUACGUGCAUUGCAAAGAACCACUCUGAAAAAAGCGUUCGAGAAGAAGUAAAAGUCGUAACA